CGAAGCUGAUCAGCCAUGCCGCGUGUGUGAAGAAGGUCUUCGGAUUGUAAAGCACUUUAACUUGGGAGGAAGGGCAUUAACCUAAUACGUUAGUGUUUUGACGUUACCGACAGAAUAAGCACCGGCUAACUUCGUGCCAGCAGCCGCGGUAAUACGAAGGGUGCAAGCGUUAAUCGGAAUUACUGGGCGUAAAGCGCGCGUAGGUGGUUUGUUAAGUUGGAUGUGAAAGCCCCGGGCUCAACCUGGGAACUGCAUCCAAAACUGGCAAGCUAGAGUAUGGCAGAGGGUGGUGGAAUUUCCUGUGUAGCGGUGAAAUGCGUAGAUAUAGGAAGGAACACCAGUGGCGAAGGCGACCACCUGGGCUAAUACUGACACUGAGGUGCGAAAGCGUGGGGAGCAAACAGGAUUAGAUACCCCAGUAGUCA
rnacentral:rRNA from 1 species